GACGGGGGGGGCAAGUGUUCUUCGGAAUGACUGGGCGUAAAGGGCGCGUAGGCGGCCUGGCAAGUGGAAGGUGAAAUCCCUCGGCUUAACCGAGGAACUGCCCUCCAAACUGCUUGGCUUGAGUCCGGGAGAGGUGAGUGGAAUUCCCAGUGUAGCGGUGAAAUGCGUAGAUAUUGGGAGGAACACCAGUGGCGAAGGCGGCUCACUGGACCGGAACUGACGCUGAGGCGCGAAAGCGUGGGGAGCAAACGGG
rnacentral:rRNA from 1 species